AAAUGAUUGGUCGACAUUAUGCAUGAGGAAUACAUUUUGGGCCCAAUCCACAGCGAUGAUUAGAGUGAUGUCAUCUGUAGGAAGUCCCACUGAGGUUAACACUAUCACCAUGGUUACCAGGCCGGCCUGUGGGAUGCCGGCAGCACCGAUACUGGCUGCUGUAGCCGUGAUGCUGAAUGUUGAUACACAGACACACAAUAGCACAGGUUUACCGGAUAAGGUCCAGUAGCGCAUCAGCAGAGCUCAUGAUGGGCUUCCCGCUGUCCUCCGAGUCCUCCUUCUGGGCAGCUCCACCCGGGUGGAUGAUGAUGACCAUGACGAUGCCCACCACCACAGCCACAAAGGUCGUCCACAGAUAAUAAGAAAUUGUCAUGAUGCCCAGUCGACUGGAACAUUUGGCAUCCAGUGCUGCCAAGCCAGACAUCAAACUGAGGAGAGAAAAACAUUUUUUUAAGGAAUACAUCAAAUUACUCUAAGUUGAAUGCAGAGAUGAUUUUUUAAAAAAAAAAUCUUUGAAAUGCCAUACAUCUAAAAUACCCACACCCAAAAUAUUGCAGUCGCUAAUUGAUGUCAGUCUGUCAUUGAGUAAAAUAAUUAACAUGAAGAAAAGAAAGAAGUGUGAC